rnacentral:rRNA from 1 species
UACAGAGGUCUCGAGCGUUUGUUCGGAUUCAUUGGGCGUAAAGGGUGCGUAGGUGGCGAGGUAAGUUGGAUGUGAAAUCCUGGGGCUCAACCCUAGAACUGCAUUCAAUACUGCCUUGCUAGAGUACUGGAGAGGAGAUUGGAAUUUACGGUGUAGCAGUGAAUGCGUAGAUAUCGUAAGGAAGACCAGUGGCGAAGGCGGAUCUCUGGACAGUUACUGACACUGAGGCACGAAGGCCAGGGGAGCAAACGGG